rnacentral:rRNA from 1 species
CUAGGAUUCCCUCAGUAACGGCGAGUGAAGCGGGAAAAGCUCAGACUGAAAAUCCUUCGGGAGUUGUAGUCUCUAGACCGAGAGCCACAAGCAAGCACAGGCGCAAGUCUUCACGAGCGAAGCGCCAGGGAGGGUGAGAGCCCCGUACCGUCUGUGCAUGUGUAACGGCACCGAGUCAACGAGUCGAGAUGCUUGGGAGUGCAUCUCUAAGUGGGUGGUAUGUCCCAUCUAAAGCUAAAUAUGGGCAAGAGACCGAUAGCGAACAAGUACUGUGAAGGAAAGAUGAAAAGCACUUUGAAAAGAAGGUUAAAAGAGCUUGAAAUUGCUGAAAGGGAAGCGAUUGGCUCCAGUACGGCCUCUGAUGAGUUUACUCUAGGGUGGCCGGUCAGCAUCGGUUUGGACUGUGCGAGAGCUCCUUGGGGAAGGUGCCGUGCCCUUGCUCCGGCAGGGAAGCAUGGGUUAAGCCUCAAGGGUGGCGGUGUGGUCGAGACCGAGGGAAGCGCAGCGCUUACGUCUAUAGGCAAGGGGGUCGAGGUACGCGUGCUUGCACGCAAUCCCAGCCCUUGGACCCAAACGGACGCGCGUUGCGAAGAUGUUGACGAAAUGGAGUCCAUUGACCCGUCUUGAAACACGGACCAAGGAGUCUAACAUGUGUGCGAGUGCUCCGGUGGCAAACCGCUGCGCGUAAUGAAGGUAAAGGUACGCCUUUGGCGGCCGAGGUGGGAACCCGAAAGGGUGCACCAUCGACCGGUCUUUGGCUCAUGGGCCUCGGGCUGCGUCUGAGCAUACCUGUUGGGACCCGAAAGAUGGUGAACUAUGCCUGAGUAGGGCGAAGCCAGGGGAAACCCUGGUGGAGGCUCGAAGCGAUUGUGACGUGCAAAUCCAUCGUCAAACUUGGGUAUAGGGGCGAAAGACUAAUCGAACCAUCUAGUAGCUGGUUCCCUCCGAAAUUUCCCUUAGGAUAGCUGCAACUGUAUCCAGUUUUAUCCGGUAAAGCGAAUGAUUAGAGGACUCUGGGUUGAAACGAUUUGGACCUAUUCUCAAACUUUAAAUGGGUAAGACGGGUGGCCUUGCUUCAAUGAAGGCCGCUCGCGAAUGGUAGUUGUUAGUGGGCCAUAGUAGGUAAGCUACUACGGCGAUGCGGGAUGAACCGAACGUGGUGUUAAAGCGCCGGACUAUCCGCUCAUCAGAUCCCACAAAAGGUGUUGGUUCAUUUAGACAGCAGGACGGUGGCCAUGGAAGUCGGAAUCCGCUAAGGAGUGUGUAACAACUCACCUGCCGAAUGAAUUAGCCCUGAAAAUGGAUGGCGCUGUAGCGGAUGGCUUAUACACCACCAACGGGCUAAGAUGGACGGCCCGUUGCGUAGGAGGGCGUGGUGCUCGCGGAGAAGGCUUGGGCGUGAGCCCGGCUCGAGCGGGCGCUAGUGCAGAUCUUGGUGGUAGUAGCAAGUAUUCAAAUGAGAACUUUGAAGACUGAAGUGGAGAAAGGUUUGGUGGGAACAGCAGUUGGCCGCCAGUGAGCCGCUCCUAAGAGAUAGGGUAACGCCAUUCGGAAGUGGGUGACUUGCGCACCCCGCCUAUCGAAAGGGAACCAGGUUUAUAUUCCUGGGCCUGGUUGGAGACAGGUGGUAACACACACGAGCUAGAUGACGUCGGAGGGAGCCUCGGGGAGAGUUCUCUUUUCUUGUUAACAGUCUAUUUCCCCGGAAUCGGUUCGCCCGGAGAUGGGGAUGAAUGACUGGAAUAGCCGUCGCGCCUAGCGACGGUCCGAAGCGCUCUCGACGGCCCUUGAAAAAUCUAGCGAGGUACCUCGUGUCAGUCUCGCACCAGGGCGUACUCAUAACCGCAUCAGGUCUCCAAGGUUAGCAGCCUCUAGUCGAUAGAACAA